UACGUAGGGUGCAAGCGUUGUCCGGAAUUAUUGGGCGUAAAGAGCUCGUAGGCGGUUUGUUGCGUCGGCUGUGAAAACCUGAGGCUCAACCUCAGGCCUGCAGUCGAUACGAGCAGACUAGAGUGUUGCAGGGGAGACUGGAAUUCCUGGUGUAGCGGUGAAAUGCGCAGAUAUCAGGAGGAACACCGGUGGCGAAGGCGGGUCUCUGGGCCGAUACUGACGCUGGAGGGAGCGAAAGCGUGGGGGAGCGAACAGG
rnacentral:rRNA from 1 species